GACGAACGCUAGCGGCAGGCCUAACACAUGCAAGUCGAACGGUUUUUUGUCUUCGGAUAAAAGACGAGUGGCGCACGGGUGCGUAACGCGUAUACAACUUACCCUCCAGUGUGGGAUAGCCCGGAGAAAUCCGGAAUAAUACCACAUGGACUUGCGAUGCUGCAUAACAUUGCAAGUAAAGAUUCAUCGCUGGGGGAUGGGUAUGCGUCCCAUUAGGUAGUUGGUGAGGUAACGGCUCACCAAGCCGACGAUGGGUAGCUGGUCUGAGAGGAUGAUCAGCCACACGGGCACUGAGACACGGGCCCGACUCCUACGGGAGGCAGCAGUGGGGAAUAUUGGACAAUGGGCGAAAGCCUGAUCCAGCGACGCCGCGUGGGUGAAGAAGGCCUGCGGGUUGUAAAGCCCUUUCGGUAGGGACGAAAGCUUCCGACCUAACACGUCGGGAGGUUGACUUAACCUACAGAAGAAGCACCGGCUAACUCUGUG
rnacentral:rRNA from 1 species